AUUGAACGCUGGCGGCAGGCCUAACACAUGCAAGUCGAGCGGAUGAAGGGAGCUUGCUCCUGGAUUCAGCGGCGGACGGGUGAGUAAUGCCUAGGAAUCUGCCUGGUAGUGGGGGAUAACGUCCGGAAACGGGCGCUAAUACCGCAUACGUCCUGAGGGAGAAAGUGGGGGAUCUUCGGACCUCACGCUAUCAGAUGAGCCUAGGUCGGAUUAGCUAGUUGGUGGGGUAACGGCCUACCAAGGCGACGAUCCGUAACUGGUCUGAGAGGAUGAUCAGUCACACUGGAACUGAGACACGGUCCAGACACCUACGGGAGGCAGCAGUGGGGAAUAUUGGACGAGGGGCGAAAGCCUGAUCCAGCCAUGCCGGGUGUGUGAAGAAGGUGUUCGGAUUGGAAAGCACUUUAAGUUGGGAGGAAGGGCAGUAAGUUAACACCUUGCUGUUUUGACGGUACCAACAGAAUAAGCACCGGCUAACUUCGUG
rnacentral:rRNA from 1 species